GAGGGAAGGACCAGGGAGCGCACAUGGAGACUCUACACCCCUCCCACACACCUUGUCCUGCUUCUCUCUUCCGACUGUGCCUGGGUUGUAACCUGGUCAUUCAGCAGAUUCUUUAUCCCUAAGGCUUCCCUGGUGGCUCAGUUUGUAAAGAGACUGCCUGCAAUGCGGAUGACCUGGAUUUGAUCCCUGGGUUGGGAAGAUCUGCUGGAGAAAGAAAUGACAACCCACUUCAGAAUUCUUGCCUGGAGAAUUCUAUGGACAGAGGAGCCUGGUGGGCUAAAAUCCAUGGGGUCGAGAAGAGUCUGACAGGACUGAGUGACUAACUUUCAUUUUUCACUUUCACUUUCUUAACCACUGAGCCACUGGGGAUGCCCUAUAUCCAGAUAGGUAGUGUCAGAAGUGGGGGACUCAUAGGGGAAUCUAGAGGUAAAGAAAGUGAAAGUGAAAGUUGCUCAGUGGUGUCUGACUCUUUGCGACCCUGUAGUCCAUGGAAUUCUCCAGGCCAGGAUACUGGAGUGGGUAGCCUUUCCCUUCUCCAGGGGAUCGUCCCAACCCAGGGAUCGAACUGAGGUACCCUGCGUUGCAAGCGGAUUCUUUACCAACUGAGCUAUCAGGGAAGCCCCUAGAGGUAAAGAAACGGCCUGCCAAUGCAGGAGACAUAAGAGACUAGGGUUUGAUCCCUGGGUCAAGAAGAUCCCCUAGAGGAGGGCACAGCAACCUACUCAAGUACUCUUGCCUGGAGACUCCCAUGGACAGAGGAGCUUGGCAAGUUGUAAUCCAUAGGGUCACACAGAGUCAGACAUGACUGAAGUGAUUUAGCAUGCAGAGUAUUAGAAUCGCGCUAAAUUGUAGGACAUGAAGCUGUGUUGGAGAAUUGCUGGGAAUGAGAAGGGACGUCCCACACAUUUGGGGACCAGAAGUAUUGAGAGUAGAGUGUUGAAAGGAGGGACAUGAGGCUUUCUUUUAUGGUCAGUGUAGUAUUUCCUAAAAUAUUCUUCCUCAACAGAAGUUGGCAAAGGACCAGAUAGUAAUUAUAUUCAUUUUUGCAAGCCACAUCCAAUCUCUAUCACAACUAUGUAAUUG
ensembl:lncRNA